GCCCUAGUAGCUUAAAGUUAAAGCAUCGGCCUUGUAAGCCGGACAUUGGCGGAUAAACUCCACCCUAGUGCU
rnacentral:tRNA from 1 species